UACGUAGGGAGCAAGCGUUGUCCGGAAUCAUUGGGCGUAAAGCGCGCGUAGGCGGCCCUGUAAGUCCGUUGUGAAAGUCAAAGGCUCAACCUUUGAAAGCCGAUGGAUACUGCAGGGCUAGAGUCCGGAAGAGGCGAGUGGAAUUCCUGGUGUAGCGGUGGGAAGUGCGCAGAUAUCAGGAGGAACACCAAUAGCGAAGGCAGCUCGCUGGGACGGUACUGACGCUAAGGCGCGAAAGCGUGGGAGCGAACAGG
rnacentral:rRNA from 1 species